CAUGUAGGUGGUCUUGUAAGUCAAAGGUGAAAUGGCCCGGCUUAACCAGGUCAUUGCCUUUAAAACUGCAGGGCUUGUGUACGGAAGAGGAGAGCGGAAUUCCCAGUGUAGCGGUGAAAUGCGUAGAUAUUGGGAGGAACACCGGUGGCGAAGGCGGCUCUCCGGUCCGAAACUGACACUGAGAUGCGAAAGCCAGGGGAGCAAACG
rnacentral:rRNA from 1 species